rnacentral:rRNA from 1 species
CCUACGGGUGGCAGCAGUGAGGAAUAUUGGUCAAUGGGCGGAAGCCUGAACCAGCCAAGUCGCGUGAGGGAUGAAGGCUCUAUGGGUCGUAAACCUCUUUUGUAAGGGAAUAAAGCGCGCCACGUGUGGCGGUCUGCAUGUACCCUGUGAAUAAGGAUCGGCUAACUCCGUGCCAGCAGCCGCGGUAAUACGGAAGAUCCGAGCGUUAUCCGGAUUUAUUGGGUUUAAAGGGUGCGUAGGCGGCCUUUCAAGUCAGCGGUAAAAUCCCGGGGCUCAACCACGGCCAGCAGUUGAAACUGGGCGCCUUGAGUUGGCAACAGGCAGGCGGAAUUCGUGGUGUAGCGGUGAAAUGCAUAGAUAUCACGAAGAACCCCGAUUGCGAAGGCAGCCUGCCGGGGCGCGACUGACGCUGAGGCACGAAGGCGUGGGUAUCAAACAGGAUUAGAUACCCGUGUAGUC